rnacentral:tRNA from 1 species
GCCGGGAUAACUCAAUUGGUAAAAC